AAAAAAGGUAAGCUACUAAGAGCGAAUGGUGGAUGCCUUGACUGGUAAAGGCGAUGAAGGACGUACUAGACUGCGAUAAGCUACGGGGAGCUGUCAAGAAGCUUUGAUCCGUAGAUUUCCGAAUGGGGCAACCCAAUGUAUAGAGAUAUACAUUACCUAUAUAGGAGCGAACGAGGGGAAUUGAAACAUCUUAGUACCCUCAGGAAAAGAAAUCAAUAGAGAUUGCGUCAGUAGCGGCGAGCGAAAGCGCAAGAGGGCAAACCCAGUGCUUGCACUGGGGGUUGUAGGACUGCAAUGUGCAAGAGGUAAGUUUAGCAGAACAUUCUGGAAAGUAUAACCAUAGAGGGUGAUAGUCCCGUAUGCGAAAAACAAACCUUAGCUAGCAGUAUCCUGAGUAGGGCGGGACACGAGGAAUCCUGUCUGAAUCCGGGUCGACCACGAUCCAACCCUAAAUACUAAUACCAGAUCGAUAGUGCACAAGUACCGUGAGGGAAAGGUGAAAAGAACUGAGGUGAUCAGAGUGAAAUAGAACCUGAAACCAUUUGCUUACAAUCAUUCAGAGCCCUAUGUAGCAAUACAGGGUGAUGGACUGCCUUUUGCAUAAUGAGCCUGCGAGUUGUGGUGUCUGGCAAGGUUAAGCAAACGCGAAGCCGUAGCGAAAGCGAGUCUGAAUAGGGCGCUUAGUCAGAUGCUGCAGACCCGAAACGAAGUGAUCUAUCCAUGAGCAAGUUGAAGCUAGUGUAAGAACUAGUGGAGGACUGAACCCAUAGGCGUUGAAAAGCCCCGGGAUGACUUGUGGAUAGGGGUGAAAGGCCAAUCAAACUUCGUGAUAGCUGGUUCUCUCCGAAAUAUAUUUAGGUAUAGCGUUGUGUCGUAAUAUAAGGGGGUAGAGCACUGAAUGGGCUAGGGCAUACACCAAUGUACCAAACCCUAUCAAACUCCGAAUACCUUAUAUGUAAUCACAGCAGUCAGGCGGCGAGUGAUAAAAUCCGUCGUCAAGAGGGAAACAACCCAGACUACCAGCUAAGGUCCCUAAAUCUUACUUAAGUGGAAAACGAUGUGAAGUUACUUAAACAACCAGGAGGUUGGCUUAGAAGCAGCCAUCCUUUAAAGAAAGCGUAAUAGCUCACUGGUCUAGUGAUUUUGCGCGGAAAAUAUAACGGGGCUAAAGUAAGUACCGAAGCUGUAGACUUGCACACAACUUAGAUUAUUUAAGUUUAGAAUAUGAGAAACUAAGUUAUAUGUUUAGUUAUAUUUUUACUGAUUUUUAUAGAGUAAAGAUAGAAAUAAAACUUAGUAAAAUCAGUAAAAAUAUUCUUAGACUAAAGUUAAGUAGUUUAAGUUGUGUGCAAGUGGUAGGAGAGCGUUCUAUUUGCGUCGAAGGUAUACCGGUAAGGAGUGCUGGAGCGAAUAGAAGUGAGCAUGCAGGCAUGAGUAGCGAUAAUUAAUGUGAGAAUCAUUAACGCCGUAAACCCAAGGUUUCCUACGCGAUGCUCGUCAUCGUAGGGUUAGUCGGGUCCUAAGUCGAGUCCGAAAGGGGUAGACGAUGGCAAAUUGGUUAAUAUUCCAAUACCAACAUUAGUGUGCGAUGGAAGGACGCUUAGGGCUAAGGGGGCUAGCGGAUGGAAGUGCUAGUCUAAGGUCGUAGGAGGUUAUACAGGCAAAUCCGUAUAACAAUACUCCGAGAACUGAAAGGCUUUUUGAAGUCUUCGGAUGGAUAGAAGAACCCCUGAUGCCGUCGAGCCAAGAAAAGUUUCUAAGUUUAGCUAAUGUUGCCCGUACCGUAAACCGACACAGGUGGGUGGGAUGAGUAUUCUAAGGCGCGUGGAAGAACUCUCUUUAAGGAACUCUGCAAAAUAGCACCGUAUCUUCGGUAUAAGGUGUGGUUAGCUUUGUAUUAGGAUUUACUCCGAAAGCAAGGAAACUUACAACAAAGAGUCCCUCCCGACUGUUUACCAAAAACACAGCACUCUGCUAACUCGUAAGAGGAUGUAUAGGGUGUGACGCCUGCCCGGUGCUCGAAGGUUAAUUGAUGGGGUUAGCAUUAGCGAAGCUCUUGAUCGAAGCCCGAGUAAACGGCGGCCGUAACUAUAACGGUCCUAAGGUAGCGAAAUUCCUUGUCGGUUAAAUACCGACCUGCAUGAAUGGCGUAACGAGAUGGGAGCUGUCUCAAAGAGGGAUCCAGUGAAAUUGUAGUGGAGGUGAAAAUUCCUCCUACCCGCGGCAAGACGGAAAGACCCCGUG
rnacentral:rRNA from 1 species